CAUUUUCAGAGGAAAAAGGUCUGAAGGAAGCAGAAGUGCCACCUGGGAGCUGGGACAGUCCCAGAGAUGUUUAGGAAGUGGAAGUGCCAGGGCUGGUGCUCACGGCCCAGCAGGGGGUGCAGGGAGGGGGCGUCCAGGGGACUCUGUUUUCUGGCUGGGCAGGAGGCAGGCGAUGGUGCAGGUACCAGGAGAAGCGCCCCACAGAAGGCAGACCUGGGAGCAGAGUGUGCAGCUCUGGGGUGCCCCUGUGAUGUCUGCAGGUGGCCCUGGGGUUGGUAGCCAGAGAGGAGUUCCUGGAGAGAGGGCCCAAGAGGGAAGGGACCUCAGGAGGCCUCAGCACGCAGGUGCUUGCACAGUCAGGGAGAGGAGGAAGGCAGGCCGGGAGGGAGGACCAGGGGAUGGGCACAGAUGCUGGGCACCUGAAGGGGAAGAGGGCUGUGAAAGAUAGAGGUGAAGGCCGGAGCGGGCAGUGCUAACACGGCGGGCAGAUCAGUGUCCCCGGGAGCCUGGCCUGGUGGCCCUAGUUCAUGUGGGCGGGGUGUGAAGGAGCAGAUGGUAGGGCAGAGGCCUGGGGUCCUGGGGACAGAGGCUGUGAACUCACAGACCUCGCAGUCUGGCCCUGAGGGAGAGGCGUGCAAGGAGAGCACUGUAGCAUGGUAGACACCUCCUGCUGGCUUCUCUUGAGUCACCUGGUCUGGGUUACCUGGUGCCUAGGGAGGAGCAGUGGAGAGGGAGGCCCAAAGGCCAAAGCAGAGUGGGGCUGGUCGAGUUCUCAGAGGUCAGUUCUCUCCUCAGGACAGCAGGGCCUCAGUCCACCCAUGAGGGUCACAGUGUUGGUAGAGUUCACAUAAACCAGUGACUGUGGAUUGCCACCAGGAAGAAGCUGCGGCCUAUGGCUCUGAAUCACUCAUGAACCACAGACCUGCGUCUAUGGACAGGUCUUGAAAGAGCUCCGUAAAGGGGACAUUCACGAGAAUUCCUAAAACAAAACAGAACAAAAUGUCCGUGAUUUCAAAUCAGGAUUUGCAUGUAUCAAUGUACCCUGUUUUUCUUUUCAAAAAAUGGGCCACUGGUGAACCAGUGGCAUUGACUAUUUAAAACAUGUGUCCUUGGGGUAUUUAAAGGGGCAUCAGACAGCACUUGGAUAUUUAGCCAGACAGACUUAUAAUCCUAGAGUCUGACAAUUAUUUGCCAUAGGACAAAACUUCUCUGAGCAUCAGGGUUUUUCAAAUAAAAAUGGAACCAACUAUAACUGAUUUACUGAUUUUGUAGCAUUGGAUAACAGAACUAUGCAAGUGCGGGGCACGUUCUACUUAUAUGGGAAUUUGCUUUUUAAACGAGGAGAGGCACAGAUAUUCACUCAAUAGGAAAAGCCAGUCCACAAUGAUUAAAAGGUUAAGAAUGCGAUCUUGGGCUGUUUAGGAGGCCUUCCAGUGCCAGCCUGCAGCCGGCCUCCCGUGUGGUCCACAGACCCCUGGGGCUCCUCAGAGCUGGCUUUCCUGGGAGGUCUGCAAGGCCAGAGCUG
rnacentral:lncRNA from 1 species